UACGAAGGGGGCUAGCGUUGCUCGGAAUCACUGGGCGUAAAGCGCACGUAGGCGGGUUGUUAAGUCGGGGGUGAAAUCCUGGAGCUCAACUCCAGAACUGCCUUCGAUACUGGCGACCUUGAGUCCGGGAGAGGUGAGUGGAACUCCGAGUGUAGAGGUGAAAUGCGUUGAUAUCCGAAGGAACGCCGGUGGCGAAAGCGACGUGCUGGAUCUCUUCUGACGCUGAGGCGCGAAAGCCAGGGUAGCGAACGGG
rnacentral:rRNA from 1 species